rnacentral:rRNA from 1 species
AAGCAGGGGAUCGUAAGACCUUGCGCUUUUGGAGUGGCCGAUGCCUGAUUAGCUAGUUGGUGGGGUAAAGGCCUACCAAGGCAACGAUCAGUAGUUGGUCUGAGAGGACGACCAGCCACACUGGGACUGAGACACGGCCCAGACUCCUACGGGAGGCAGCAGUGGGGAAUUUUGGACAAUGGGCGAAAGCCUGAUCCAGCAAUGCCGCGUGAGUGAAGAAGGCCUUCGGGUUGUAAAGCUCUUUCAGUCGGGAAGAAAAGGUUGUGACUAAUAAUCACAAUUCAUGACGGUACCGACAGAAGAAGCACCGGCUAACUACGUGCCAGCAGCCGCGGUAAUACGUAGGGUGCAAGCGUUAAUCGGAAUUACUGGGCGUAAAGGGUGCGCAGGCGGCUUUGUAAGUCAGAUGUGAAAUCCCCGGGCUUAACCUGGGAAUUGCGUUUGAAACUACAAGACUAGAGU